GACGAACGCUGGCGGCGUGCCUAAUACAUGCAAGUAGAACGCACAGUUUAUACCGUAGCUUGCUACACCAUAGACUGUGAGUUGCGAACGGGUGAGUAACGCGUAGGUAACCUGCCUGGUAGCGGGGGAUAACUAUUGGAACCGAUAGCUAAUACCGCAUAAUAUUAAUUAUUGCAUGUUAAUUGAUGGAAAGAUGCAACUGCAUCACUACCAGAUGGACCUGCGUUGUAUUAGCUAGUAGGUGAGGUAACGGCCCACCUAGGCGACGGUACAUAGCCGACCUGAGAGGGUGAUCGGCCACACUGGGACUGAGACACGGCCCAGACUCCUACGGGAGGCAGCAGUAGGGAAUCUUCGGCAAUGGACGAAAGUCUGACCGAGCAACGCCGCGUGAGUGAAGAAGGUUUUCGGAUCGUAAAGCUCUGUUGUAAGAGAAGAACGGGUGUGAGAGUGGAAAGUUCACACUGUGACGGUAUCUUACCAGAAAGGGACGGCUAACUACGUG
rnacentral:rRNA from 1 species